CGGGGUGCACCAGGCGCGAAAACUCUACAAUGCAGGCAACUGCGAUAGGGGAACAUCGAGUGAUCCUCAUAUUGGGGGUCUGUCCACUCGCCUAAAAAGCGGGUGUUAGCAAGGGCCGGGCAAGACCGGUGCCAGCCGCCGCGGUAAUACCGGCGGCUCGAGUGGUGGCCGAUAUUAUUGAGUCUAAAGGGUCCGUAGCCGGCUUUGCAAGUCUCUCGGGAAAUCCAGCGGCUUAACCGUUGGUCGUCCGGGGGGUACUACAUUGCUUGGGACUGGGAGAGGUAGGAGGUACUCAGGGGGUAGGAGUGAAAUCCUGUAAUCCUUUGGGGACCACCGGUGGCGAAGGCGUCCUACCAGAACAGGUCCGACGGUGAGGGACGAAAGCUAGGGGCACGAACCGGAUUAGAUACCCGGGUAGUCCUAGCCGUAAACGAUGCUCGCUAGGUGUCACAACAGUCGUGAACUGUUGUGGUGCCGUAGGGAAGCCGUGAAGCGAGCCACUUGGGAAGUACGACCGCAAGGUUGAAACUUAAAGGAAUUGGCGGGGGAGCACAAGGGNAAUUCGCG
rnacentral:rRNA from 1 species